GAAGCAGACCAGACCGCCGCUGGUGCCGGAUCCGAAAGGUGGCACUGGAGGAAGGUCCGGACUGCACAGAGCAGCGUAGCAGCCAACGGCUGUCCACCGUGAGGUGAGGAUCAGAGCAACAGAGACGAGCCGAUUCAGUUCGGGUGAAACGGGCAAUCUCUACGCGCAGCAACACCAAAUAGGCCAGUGAUGCGGGGCUUCGGCUCCGUGGGAGUGCGGCUCGCACGAGCUGGCGGGUAGGUGGCACCGAGCCGGGUGGGCGACCCCCGGCCCAGAGGAAUGGCGGUCACAUGGGGGCAACCCCGUGCACAGAAUCCGGCCUAUCGGUCUGCUUCACAA
rnacentral:RNase_P_RNA from 1 species